AGAGUUUGAUCAUGGCUCAGAGCGAACGCUGGCGGCAGGCUUAACACAUGCAAGUCGAACGGGCACCUUCGGGUGUCAGUGGCAGACGGGUGAGUAACACGUGGGAACGUGCCUUUCGGUUCGGAACAACCCAGGGAAACUUGGGCUAAUACCGGAUACGCCCUUCGGGGGAAAGAUUUAUCGCCGAAAGAUCGGCCCGCGUCUGAUUAGCUUGUUGGUGAGGUAACGGCUCACCAAGGCGACGAUCAGUAGCUGGUCUGAGAGGAUGAUCAGCCACACUGGGACUGAGACACGGCCCAGACUCCUACGGGAGGCAGCAGUGGGGAAUAUUGGACAAUGGGCGAAAGCCUGAUCCAGCCAUGCCGCGUGAGUGAUGAAGGCCUUAGGGUUGUAAAGCUCUUUCGACGGGGACGAUAAUGACGGUACCCGUAGAAGAAGCCCCGGCUAACUUCGUGCCAGCAGCCGCGGUAAUACGAAGGGGGCUAGCGUUGCUCGGAAUCACUGGGCGUAAAGGGCGCGUAGGCGGACUCUUAAGUCAGAGGUGAAAGCCCAAGGCUCAACCUUGGAAUUGCCUUUGAUACUGGGAGUCUAGAGACCGGAAGAGGUAAGUGGAACUGCGAGUGUAGAGGUGAAAUUCGUAGAUAUUCGCAAGAACACCAGUGGCGAAGGCGGCUUACUGGUCCGGUUCUGACGCUGAGGCGCGAAAGCGUGGGGAGCAAACAGGAUUAGAUACCCCCGUAGUCC
rnacentral:rRNA from 2 species